rnacentral:sRNA from 1 species
CUUGCUCAUCAUGGCUUGCUCAGCCUGCUUUCUUAUAGAAAACUACUUAUAGAAGCAACAGCUUAGGGGUAGGUAGCACCACUCACAAGGGGCUGGGCCCUCUCCCAUCAAUCACUAAUUUGAAAAAUGUUCUACAUCUGGAUCUUAUGCAGGCACUUUUUCAAAGGUUCCCUCCUAUCAGAUAACUCUAGCUUGUGCCAAGUUGAUACAAUUUACCCAGCACUUACACGGUGGCAGCCAUUUGCUGAAGCAGCCAAUAGGUUAGAAAACAGCCUUAUACAACAAAUAUCUGCAAUAAAUGUUGGUAAUAACCUGAAGAUAAAGCUUGAUAGUAUCUGUUUGUAAGACUGUUUGCUUUUAUGAGUGCUUCGGGGUCACUUAAGGUCAUUAAACGACUUCUUGCUCUGUAAAGCUCUGUAAAGUAUUUCUCAUUCCAUUCCCAUGUCAUGUUUUCUGUAUUGCUCAAUAAAUACAGAGCAAAACCCUCUGUUAGUGAAAGAGGCAGAAUUGGGGUCAAUAGAAGGCCAGUGGGAAAAUUCCACCACAAACCUCCAAGCACAAAGACCGCUCCCUCCCUUCCGGGAAGGGUAAAGCUAGUUUAGUUCCUGGAAGAACUACAAGACAACAGUCAGACGAAGCCACCAGUGACUCCCAACUGACUGACCCCCUUGGAAAGUCCUGGACGGUUCACUGAACAUGAGUCAGUUUGAAGGUCGAUUUGCUCCAUCAAUAGUACCCUGCCUAGUUACUAUUGUUUGAAUUCUGCCCUUAUUGUUUGAAAUCUUCUCUUAUUGAAGGUAUAUAACUUCCUGUUAGAGUCUGCUCAGAGUCAUCUUCCUCUCGAAGUGGGGUGACCCCAGCGUGCUGAAACAAUAAAACUCCUCUUGUUUUUGCAUUGAUCACCACCUCCGUGAGUUCCAUUCAAGGGGUCCCGGUAGAGUUCCAACUUAAACCUCACAUUAGAAGCAGGCAGACACAGGGACAGUGAGGUAUCAGACAACAUUCAGGAAGGCAGACAUAACAGACCAAAAAUAAGCCAACAAUCACCAUAGACAGACGAAAGGUACAGGGAGAAAAGUGAAGAGUUCAAAUUUGAGCUCACUCUUGGUCAAAUUAGUGAAAGAAGUCUGUGUUUUGAUGCAUCUGAGGUUGUCUUUGAUGUGUUAGUCAAUACAAAACUGGUCCUGACAUAUUAUUUCAAGAAACAUUGCAAGGAAUUUUGUUUAUACUAACUGAGAGAUGCAGACAAAACACCCCCACCACAAGGAAAACAUUUAGCUUUUACAUUUAAAAAAGUUCUUUUUAGUAAGUGAUUUGUGAAUCAAAUGCUCUUUUCUAUCUUUUUGGGAAUUUUGACCAUAUUGAAAUGUUCUCAGUAGAAGUAUGAACCAUUAAUCUUCAGCACCACCAUUAUCCCUGAGGUGAAGGACAGAUGAGUGUAGGUUACAUAGCCUUGGUCUCCCUGUCACUUCUUGUCACUAUUGUUACUGUACCUCUCAGUUGCAGUGUUCUGAGUGAGAACGGCCCCCGUAGGUUCAUAUAUUUGUAUACUUGGUCCAUAGCUGUUGAAUUUCUUUCAAGGAUUGGGAGGUUGGUGUGGCCUUGUUGGGGAGGUUUGUCCAUGUUAGAGGAAAUUUGUCUUUGAGGUCUGUUUCUUUGCCUUUCUGCCUGUGGAUCAGGAUGCAAAAGUCUCAGUCACUGUUCAGCGCCAUGCACGCUGCCAUGUAUCCCACCAUGAUGAUAAUAGAUUAAGUCUCUGAAACGGCAAGCAAUCUCCCAAUUAAAUGUGUUUCUUUGUAAGAGUUGCUUUGGUUGUGGUGUCUCUUCACAGCUGUACAACAGUGGCUGAGAUACCAGCACUCAGCCUGCCCCGGCUGCCUCACCAGAGGUGAGAGGGAAGAAAGAGACACCCUGUAGGCGAGCCACAUCUUUAGUAGUUUGUGCUCUGACCUGCAUUGCUCUCAGUAAAGUGUACAUUUCCUUAUGACUGGCAGACUGGGGAUACAUAUUCUAUUGUGCUUUUUUUUUUAACCUUUGCGGUUACAGUGAUAUUGUAAUUUUUGUCAAUCAGUGUUCUUUAAUAGUGAAAUAUUCUGUUUUCAGUGUGACAACCAUGAGAAUGGACUGAAGAUCUCUGAAUCAAGGCUAUGCUGUUGUGGACCUUCCUCUACUCUGCAGAAGACAGCAUUCUACCCAAGAGACAUAGCGCAGAGUUUCCUGAACGCAUGAGUGAGGGAGCAGGCUAUGCACCCGAGGACAAAGCAGCACACUGUUCGGUCAGAAAGCCGCGCAAGUCGGGAGCCAGUCUGGAGCAAGAGUGAAGGAGACAGGUCCAAAGCCGGAAAACCUCAUCAUCAUCUCAGCAGGCGGGAGGAGGACCGUUCCCUCCUUGCUCUGGGCCUGCACGUCCUGGCCCACCCAGCCUGAAUGAUCCCCACCGCUGCCACCCUUGAGGAGGUCCUGUAGCCUGGUGGCCAAAUUACAGGUUUAACUUCCUCUUUCCCUAUAAGGGCAUGUCCAGCAAGUACCUGUAAUUCCUUUUCCUGCAAAUGAAGCGUUCAGGCACCUCAGCCCUAGCCAAUGAUACACACUCACCCGGAAAACCCCUAACCACUCCCCAAGGUUUAUGUAGCCCUUAUUCACCCCCUAAUAAACAGAUCUGUUUCUCUGGAAA